UGAGGUUAUGGAUAUACUGAGAUCAAUCAACGGUAGGAGGAUACUGUGACUGUAAUAUGAGCUUACUCGUGUUGGUUCUGUGAGCUCCUCUGCCUUUUGUGUUUGGCAGUGGCUUGUGAUCAAGAUGAACACCUGUAAGUUGGUUCUGUAGGGAAGAAACUGAUGUUAGGUACGUAUGAGGCAGGCAUCCCACAAUUGGGUUGUUGUUAUAUCGCAACUAGGAGUAUUAAUUUCUCCAUCGUGAUGGUUAUCCUCUCUGACAGUUGACUCAGCCAGGAAAAUGUUCAAUACUAAUACUAGUAGUA
rnacentral:lncRNA from 1 species